ACGGCCGCAAGGUUAAAACUCAAAUGAAUUGACGGGGGCCCGCACAAGCGGUGGAGCAUGUGGUUUAAUUCGAUGCAACGCGAAGAACCUUACCUGGUCUUGACAUCCACGGAAGUUUUCAGAGAUGAGAAUGUGCCUUCGGGAACCGUGAGACAGGUGCUGCAUGGCUGUCGUCAGCUCGUGUUGUGAAAUGUUGGGUUAAGUCCCGCAACGAGCGCAACCCUUAUCCUUUGUUGCCAGCGGUCCGGCCGGGAACUCAAAGGAGACUGCCAGUGAUAAACUGGAGGAAGGUGGGGAUGACGUCAAGUCAUCAUGGCCCUUACGACCAGGGCUACACACGUGCUACAAUGGCGCAUACAAAGAGAAGCGACCUCGCGAGAGCAAGCGGACCUCAUAAAGUGCGUCGUAGUCCGGAUUGGAGUCUGCAACUCGACUCCAUGAAGUCGGAAUCGCUAGUAAUCGUGGAUCAGAAUGCCACGGUGAAUACGUUCCCGGGCCUUGUACACACCGCCCGUCACACCAUGGGAGUGGGUUGCAAAAGAAGUAGGUAGCUUAACCUUCGGGAGGGCGCU
rnacentral:rRNA from 2 species